UCACAUUGACGACUUCAGUUCUUGCAACAAGAUGAAAAGGGUCAAGUGCGUCAAUAGGCAGAUAAAAAGUACACCAAGUGCGCUAACAGAAAAUAAGAAGAACGCCAAGACGGACAUAGAUCAAGAUGGAUCACUCAAGUUAUUCAUGUCAGCUUUCAAUUUAUUUAAAUUCCAGAUUUCAAUAAGGAUAGAUAAUGUUGUUGCUAUCCCGAAAACACAGAAAGUUCAAGUUCAUGUAUUCAUUAUGAGAUAGAUUUUAUUAAAUAUCGAAUUCAGUUCUUUCACCAAUGUCUCAUUUGGAACUAUAUAUAUACGAAAAGGUUACUAGCUAGAGGCUGCCAACUAUUGUCCAUUCUUAGUUCCCAUCAAAGGUUAGCUAGCUAGCCAGUGACGGAGCCAGCCCAGUCUUGACCGGGCUGGAGCCUAGGUAAGAUUUGAAACUCAAAAAACACCUGCAUCAAUCUAUAUUUUAGGCGCGUGUGAGGAAGGUGGGAAGUGAGGGAGGACACAGAGAGUGAGGGAGUCAAGCCAGUCAAGCCAGCUUUGUUUGACAAAGUCAACCCCACAGUUUACACCUAAUUACUGUGAUUAGACGAUUUUGGCUUUAUAUAAUUGGAAAAUGCUCAUUUAAUAGGGCUGCUACUUGCUAAUUAGGAUUGAGUUAGUCUAACGUCUUUACGCUAAUGGCUUCGUGCUUAGUAGCCACUCUUUAUGGCCGGUGGUGGUUAAUUAGUAGCCUUUCACCUUAAAAUUGAUUUUUGACUCUUAAUGCUUCUUUACAUUGUAAAAUGAAUAACCAAAGGCUGUCAAACGUAAUUAACAAUACAAAUACAUAAGCAUUACAAAUUAAAAAUGACGGUUUAAGAAUCUUAAAAGGUUAGAAAACUAGUAAAGAGUCAUCUAGAUAACGCUAGGAAAAUCAUUUAAAUCCAUUAGAUAACGCUUGAUGAAGCCAUCUUGUUUAGAACCUUCUGAAAUAACUGUAACAUCUCGUGAGUCAUAUUGUUUUAAAUCUCAUACAUAUAUCUCCUAUAUCUAUAUACGUGUGUGUGUGUUUUUUUUUUUUAAUUAACCAAAAUUUCUCACGUCGUUAAGUUUCAUUGAUUUAUUUUUUUUCGUGUGUUGCUAUUAAUCUAGGUGACUUUUUCAUCUGGCUCCACCCCUAUAGCUAGCUAGGAUUGAAUGUACGUUCAUUUUGAUCGAGACGGCAACCUGGUGGAGUUCUCGUGCCCUAGCUAGAUAUAUAGAUGCAACCAAACCCUAGCUAAUACGCUCGCAACUCCAAUAAUUAGAUAUUCAAACAUCGAUUCAUCCAACAAGCCAGCGAGAUCCCGGUCCGUACCUGCAGCCUGCACUCGCAUCUCUUAUCAGCUAUCACCCAACAUUAAACAUUGAUUUUCAUUUUAAAUAUGAUUAUGUGUUUCUCACUUCAACUAAUUUCAUGGGCCGGCAGCGUUUCUUCAACUAAUUUAUAUGGAUAUGCUAAAUUGUACAUCAAAGUACACAAAAUUCAUAUUGUCAUCCAUCCAUGACCUGUCUUAUAAUGAAGUUUAGCUAUCAUGUCAUCUUCACUAAUUUAAUUUCAGAAGAUUAGAAGGUGAAGGUCUUUGCCUAAAUCUAUUACCUGUGGAUGAAGGAGACUGAAUGAAAACUAAAACAUCAUGUUAUUCAGUCAUUGUACAGCACUGCUUAUAAUAAGGACCUUUAUCCUAUUUGUGAGGGGAAAAGCAUCUAUUUUGGUCAAUUACGACUCAAAUUUGGUUUGUUUUAACUUCUAUUUUGAAAUAACCACUUCACUUAGAGAUGAAGUCCAUGUAAUGUCAUAUCACUUUGUUCAUAUAUCAUAACACUUCAUAAGAGAAGUUUUACUGAAAUUAAAUACUUAAAAUAGUCUUAAUUACGUCAAAUUACUAACCAUCAUCUCAUACGAACAUACUACUAUAUCUACUAGAUUUUAGGGCCAAUUACAUAUAAGUCCACUUUGAGACAUUUUUUCCCACAUAGAUCCACCCCAACAUUUUUACCCACAUAAGUCCACCCAAGUCUAAAUAAGGUUUUGUAUUAAGUAUUGAAGUUCAACAUAAUUACAGACUGCCAUCCAACAAAAAAAAUUAGAUUUUCUCCUUUAUAUUUAUAAGAAUGCCACUAGUAUAAAAAGUCAACAACCACUCUUAUUUCGGAACAGUCUCCGGCGGACCUCCGGCGAGAUUUCCAGCGGACCUCCGGUGAGGUUUCCGGCCGACCUUCGGCGAGGUUUCCGGCCGACCUCCGGCGAGGUUUCCGGCCGACCUCCGACGAUGACAAAAAUUACUACUACCAGCUAAAAAAGCUACUACCACCAGCUACAAAAGCUACUACCACCGCCUACAAAAGCUACUACUGUGAGGUUUCUGAUGAAAACAAAAAGCUACUACCACCAGCGACAAAAGCUACUACCACCAGCUACAAAAGCUACUACCACCGCCUACAAAGCUACUACUGUGAGGUUUUCGACGAACACAAAACUACUACCACCAGCGACAAAAGCUACUACCACCAGCUACAAAAGCUACUACCACCGCUUACAAAAGCUACUACUGUGAGGUUUCCGAGGAACACAAAAACUACUAUCACCAACCACAAAAGCUACUACCACUAGCUACAAAAGCUACUACCACCGUCUACAAAAGCUACUACUGUGAGGUUUCCAAUGAACACAAAAGCUACUACCACAAACUACUACCACCAACCACAAAAGCUACUACCACAAGCUACAAAAGCUACUNNNNN
rnacentral:lncRNA from 1 species